CAGCAGCCGCGGUAAUACGAAGGUCCCAAGCGUUGUUCGGAUUCACUGGGUGUAAAGGGUGCGUAGGCGGGACAAUAAGUCAGUGGUGAAAUCUUACGGCUCAACCGUGAAACUGCCAUUGAUACUGUUGUUCUUGAGUUCGGGAGAGGUUGAUGGAAUUCCAGGUGUAGCGGUGAAAUGCGUAGAUAUCUGGAAGAACACCAGUGGCGAAGGCGGUCAACUGGCCCGAAACUGACGCUGAGGCACGAAAGCGUGGGGAGCGAACAGGAUUAGAUACCCUGGUAGUCCACGCCCUAAACGAUGAAUGCUUGGUGUUGGCCCGCAAGGGUCAGUGCCGGAGGUAACCUGGUAAGCAUUCCACCUGGGGAGUACGCUCGCAAGGGUGAAACUCAAAGGAAU
rnacentral:rRNA from 1 species